GAUGAACGCUGGCGGCGUGCUUAACACAUGCAAGUCGAACGGAAAGGCCCAAGCUUGCUUGGGUACUCGAGUGGCGAACGGGUGAGUAACACGUGGGUGAUCUGCCCUGCACUUCGGGAUAAGCCUGGGAAACUGGGUCUAAUACCGGAUAGGACCACUUCUUGGAUGUUGUGGUGGAAAGAUUUUUCGGUGUGGGAUGAGCUCGCGGCCUAUCAGCUUGUUGGUGGGGUAAUGGCCUACCAAGGCGUCGACGGGUAGCCGGCCUGAGAGGGUGUACGGCCACAUUGGGACUGAGGUACGGCCCAGACUCCUACGGGAGGCAGCAGUGGGGAAUAUUGCACAAUGGGCGCAAGCCUGAUGCAGCGACGCCGCGUGGGGGAUGACGGCCUUCGGGUUGUAAACUCCUUUCGCUAGGGACGAAGCGUUUUGUGACGGUACCUGGAGAAGAAGCACCGGCUAACUACGUG
rnacentral:rRNA from 1 species